UACAGAGGGUGCUAGCGUUGUUCGGAAUCAUUGGGCGUAAAGGGCGUGUAGGCGGUUUGUUAAGUCAUGUGUGAAAUCCCUCGGCUCAACCGGGGAACGACGCAUGAAACUGGCAAGCUAGAGUACCAAAGAGGGGGGUGGAAUUCCCGGCGUAGCGGUGAAAUGCGUAGAUAUCGGGAGGAACACCUGUGGCGAAGGCGGCCCCCUGGUUGGAUACUGACGCUGAUACGCGAAAGCGUGGGGAGCAAACAGG
rnacentral:rRNA from 1 species